GACGUAGGAGGCGAGCGUUGUCCGGAUUCAUUGGGCGUAAAGAGCGCGCAGGCGGCUUGGUAAGUCGGAUGUGAAAACCCGAGGCUCAACCUCGGGCGUGCAUCCGAAACUGCUCGGCUAGAGGUAGGUAGGGGAGAUCGGAAUUCCUGGUGUAGCGGUGAAAUGCGCAGAUAUCGGGAGGAACACCUAUGGCGAAGGCAGCUCGCUGGGACGUUACUGACGCUGAGACGCGAAAGCGUGGGGAGCAAACAGG
rnacentral:rRNA from 1 species